AUCAUAGCCUGUCUUGUAACACAUUUUACCAUCUGUGCAGAAAAGACCAAGAGAAAUGAACUGUGGGAACUUUGGAGGAAAAUGCAUUAAAUAGGGAAGAGAGGCGUGCAGAGUUGAAGAAAAAUGAUUGCGAGUAAAAAAAUAAUGAACAGAAAACGAAUUUAUCUGCAAACUAAACGUCAGGAGUUACAAGCUUCAGGAUAAGAAUUUCAAGGAACAUGUUGUGGAAAUUAGCAUUUCAUUUGAAUUGAAAAAGGGAACCCUGAGGAAGGGACAAGAUCUGAAAAAUUUU